GACGAACGCUUGCGGCGUGCUUAACACAUGCAAGUCGAACGGAAAGGCCCUGCUUUUGUGGGGUGCUCGAGUGGCGAACGGGUGAGUAACACGUGAGUAACCUGCCCUUGACUUUGGGAUAACUUCAGGAAACUGGGGCUAAUACCGGAUAGGAGCUCCUGCUGCAUGGUGGGGGUUGGAAAGUUUCGGCGGUUGGGGAUGGACUCGCGGCUUAUCAGCUUGUUGGUGGGGUAGUGGCUUACCAAGGCUUUGACGGGUAGCCGGCCUGAGAGGGUGACCGGCCACAUUGGGACUGAGAUACGGCCCAGACUCCUACGGGAGGCAGCAGUGGGGAAUAUUGCACAAUGGGCGGAAGCCUGAUGCAGCAACGCCGCGUGCGGGAUGACGGCCUUCGGGUUGUAAACCGCUUUCGCCUGUGACGAAGCGUGAGUGACGGUAAUGGGUAAAGAAGCACCGGCUAACUACGUGCCAGCAGCCGCGGUGAUACGUAGGGCGCGAGCGUUGUCCGGAUUUAUUGGGCGUAAAGGGCUCGUAGGUGGUUGAUCGCGUCGGAAGUGUAAUCUUGGGGCUUAACCCUGAGCGUGCUUUCGAUACGGGUUGACUUGAGGAAGGUAGGGGAGAAUGGAAUUCCUGGUGGAGCGGUGGAAUGCGCAGAUAUCAGGAGGAACACCAGUGGCGAAGGCGGUUCUCUGGGCCUUUCCUGACGCUGAGGAGCGAAAGCGUGGGGAGCGAACAGGCUUAGAUACCCUGGUAGUCCACGCUGUAAACGGUGGGUACUAGGUGUGGGGUCCAUUCCACGGGUUCCGUGCCGUAGCUAACGCUUUAAGUACCCCGCCUGGGGAGUACGGCCGCAAGGCUAAAACUCAAAGGAAUUGACGGGGCCCCGCACAAGCGGCGGAGCAUGCGGAUUAAUUCGAUGCAACGCGUAGAACCUUACCUGGGUUUGACAUGGAUCGGGAGUACUCAGAGAUGGGUGUGCCUCUUUUGGGGUCGGUUCACAGGUGGUGCAUGGCUGUCGUCAGCUCGUGUCGUGAGGUGUUGGGUUAAGUCCCGCAACGAGCGCAACCCUUGUUCACUGUUGCCAGCACGUUAUGGUGGGGACUCAGUGGAGACCGCCGGGGUCAACUCGGAGGAAGGUGGGGAUGACGUCAAGUCAUCAUGCCCCUUAUGUCCAGGGCUUCACGCAUGCUACAAUGGCUGGUACAGAGAGUGGCGAGCCUGUGAGGGUGAGCGAAUCUCGGAAAGCCGGUCUCAGUUCGGAUUGGGGUCUGCAACUCGACCUCAUGAAGUCGGAGUCGCUAGUAAUCGCAGAUCAGCAACGCUGCGGUGAAUACGUUCCCGGGGCU
rnacentral:rRNA from 1 species